CAAUACCCCAAAACUCUGAUUUUCAGCGCAAGUCUGAUUAUAAAUAUCAGCAAGUUGUGGAGCACUCUCGCCAUCUUUACAUUGCCGCAAGAAAUCAAUCCAGAUCAGCGCAUACGCACGACUGUCUGAAGGGAGGAUCCCAACAAGCGGCUGAAUGGGACGGUGGCAAAAGCAUCACGUCAGAUUUCACGCUUGCGUGUGACAGCAGUGGUUGUUUAGCAGGAGACGGUGUUGUUGACUAUACAAGGCAAGUCCGAAAUCGAGCAAUAAGCCACUCAUUGCAGUGCUUUACAGGGAUUUGAGCGCAGCUAAGAGGCGCUGUUAGACACAGUGAAAACCUCAAAUCACUGCAAAGCACCGGGGCUUUCAGCCGGUGUUAUGGCAACAUGUAUUUA